GCCUACGGGACGCAGCAGUAGGGAAUCUUCCACAAUGGACGAAAGUCUGAUGGAGCAACGCCGCGUGAGUGAAGAAGGGUUUCGGCUCGUAAAGCUCUGUUGGUAGUGAAGAAAGAUAGAGGAAGUAACUGGCCUUUAUUUGAAGGUAAUUACUUAGAAAGUAACGGAUAACUACGUGCCAGCAGCCGCGGGAAUACGUAGGUGGCGAGCGUUGUCCGGAUUUAUUGGGCGGAAAGGGUGCGUAGGCGGCCUGCUAAGUCUGGAGGGAAAGGUACCGGCUCAAAC
rnacentral:rRNA from 1 species